rnacentral:rRNA from 1 species
AGCGAACGCUGGCGGCAGGCCUAACACAUGCAAGUCGAACGAACUCUUCGGAGUUAGUGGCGGACGGGUGAGUAACACGUGGGAACGUGCCUUUUGGUUCGGCAUAACUUAGGGAAACUUGUACUAAUACCGAAUGUGCCCUUUUGGGGAAAGAUUUAUCGCCAUUAUAGCGGCCCGCGUCGGAUUAGUUAGUUGGUGAGGUAACGGCUCACCAAGGCGACGAUCAGUAGCUGGUCUGAGAGGAUGAGCAGCCACACUGGGACUGAGACACGGCCCAGACUCCUACGGGAGGCAGCAGUGGGGAAUCUUGCACAAUGGGGGAAAGCCUGAAGGAGCCAUGCCGCGUGAAUGAUGAAGGUCUUAGGGUUGUAAAAUUCUUUCACCGGGGAAGAUAAUGACGGUACCCGGAGAAGAAGCCCCGGCUAACUUCGUG